GAAAUAACAAAAAUUAAGCUUCUAACUUAAAUAAAAGCGAUAAAUUCGUUUAUAUUUCU
rnacentral:tRNA from 1 species